AUAUAUUUCUUAUUUCAACCAAGAAUCUUGAUACAGCAUCCAUAAUAUUCUCUUGUGAAGUUCUGAUUGUGAUACAAAGAAAUGAGCCUCUUAUCUUAUGGAUAUUCCAUACGAACUUUUGGUCUCUUGCAGCCUGUACUAGCUGUAAUGUAUCUGGUGCAGUACAUGCCAACCAUCGGCUACUGGCUUAUGGACAAGAUUGGAGCGAAUCGAGUUGAAGCUGCUAAAGAGAAAGGCAACGCAUACUCACUGCGGUUAUUGUUUGGUAAGAAGAAAGCAGCUUGAACGGGACACCAUUUUGCUCUUUAACUGUCAAAGAGUGCAAGCACUACUCUCUCUUCCUCGUAUCAUUUAUAUCGUAGACUGUUCUGAGGAAGAAUAACAAUAAUAGUUCUUACCCCUGUCCGAUGAGAUUUUCCUUUCAUUUGUUGGAGGGCUGAUGCAAUUCCAGUUUGGAACUUAUGUUAAAUUGAGUAAUUCAUUUAAUAA